rnacentral:rRNA from 1 species
GACGAACGCUGGCGGCGUGCUUAACACAUGCAAGUCGAGCGGUAAGGCCCUUUCGGGGGUACACGAGCGGCGAACGGGUGAGUAACACGUGGGUGACCUGCCCUCAGCUCUGGGAUAAGCCUGGGAAACUGGGUCUAAUACCGGAUAUGACUCCAUGACGCAUGUUGUGGGGUGGAAAGCCUUGUGCGGCUGAGGAUGGGCCCGCGGCCUAUCAGCUUGUUGGUGGGGUGANGGCCUACCAAGGCGACGACGGGUAGCCGGCCUGAGAGGGCGACCGGCCACACUGGGACUGAGACACGGCCCAGACUCCUACGGGAGGCAGCAGUGGGGAAUCUUGCGCAAGUGGGCGAAAGCCUGACGCAGCGACGCCGCGUGAGGGAUGACGGCCU